CACGUAGGGGGCGAGCGUUGUCCGGAUUUAUUGGGCGUAAAGAGCUCGUAGGCGGUUUCGUAAGUCGGAUGUGAAAACUCCAGGCUCAACUUGGAGACGCCAUUCGAUACUGCGAUGACUUGAGUCCGGUAGGGGAGUGUGGAAUUCCUGGUGUAGCGGCGAAAUGCGCAGAUAUCAGGAGGAACACCGGCGGCGAAAGCGGCUCUCUGGAACGGUACUGACGCUGAGACGCGAAAGCGUGGGGAGCGAACAGG
rnacentral:rRNA from 1 species